rnacentral:rRNA from 1 species
AGAGUUUGAUCAUGGCUCAGGAUGAACGCUAGCUACAGGCUUAACACAUGCAAGUCGAGGGGAAACGACAUCGAAAGCUUGCUUUUGAUGGGCGUCGACCGGCGCACGGGUGAGUAACGCGUAUCCAACCUGCCCACCACUUGGGGAUAACCUUGCGAAAGUAAGACUAAUACCCAAUGAUAUCUCUAGAAGACAUCUGAAAGAGAUUAAAGAUUUAUCGGUGAUGGAUGGGGAUGCGUCUGAUUAGCUUGUUGGCGGGGUAACGGCCCACCAAGGCGACGAUCAGUAGGGGUUCUGAGAGGAAGGUCCCCCACAUUGGAACUGAGACACGGUCCAAACUCCUACGGGAGGCAGCAGUGAGGAAUAUUGGUCAAUGGGCGAGAGCCUGAACCAGCCAAGUAGCGUGCAGGACGACGGCCCUAUGGGUUGUAAACUGCUUUUAUAAGGGAAUAAAGUGAGUCUCGUGAGACUUUUUGCAUGUACCUUAUGAAUAAGGACCGGCUAAUUCCGUGCCAGCAGCCGCGGUAAUACGGAAGGUCCGGGCGUUAUCCGGAUUUAUUGGGUUUAAAGGGAGCGUAGGCCGGAGAUUAAGCGUGUUGUGAAAUGUAGACGCUCAACGUCUGCACUGCAGCGCGAACUGGUUUCCUUGAGUACGCACAAAGUGGGCGGAAUUCGUGGUGUAGCGGUGAAAUGCUUAGAUAUCACGAAGAACUCCGAUUGCGAAGGCAGCUCACUGGAGCGCAACUGACGCUGAAGCUCGAAAGUGCGGGUAUCGAACAGGAUUAGAUACCCUGGUAGUCCGCACGGUAAACGAUGGAUGCCCGCUGUUGGUCUGAAUAGGUCAGCGGCCAAGCGAAAGCAUUAAGCA